rnacentral:rRNA from 1 species
CUACGGGGGGCUGCAGUGGGGAAUAUUGGACAAUGGGGGCAACCCUGAUCCAGCCAUGCCGCGUGUGUGAAGAAGGCCCUCGGGUUGUAAAGCACUUUCAGUGAGGAAGAACGCCUGGUGGUUAAUACCCAUCAGGAAAGACAUCACUCACAGAAGAAGCACCGGCUAACUCCGUGCCAGCAGCCGCGGUAAUACGGAGGGUGCGAGCGUUAAUCGGAAUUACUGGGCGUAAAGCGCGCGUAGGUGGCUUGAUAAGCCGGUUGUGAAAGCCCCGGGCUCAACCUGGGAACGGCAUCCGGAACUGUCAAGCUAGAGUGCAGGAGAGGAAGGUAGAAUUCCCGGUGUAGCGGUGAAAUGCGUAGAGAUCGGGAGGAAUACCAGUGGCGAAGGCGGCCUUCUGGACUGACACUGACACUGAGGUGCGAAAGCGUGGGUAGCAAACAGGAUUAGAUACCCUAGUAGUC